AUCAAAAUCCUUAUACCUUCUAUGUGCAUUGUUUUGCCCAUCAAUUGCAAUUAGUGGUUGUCGCCGUUUCAACUUCUACUCCAGCUAUUGCAGAUUUUUUUAACUAUGUCCCUUUGAUAGUCAAUACUGUGGGUGCAUCUUGUAUGAGAAAGGAUAUCUUGCUUGCAAAACACCAUGAUAGUUUGUUAGAAAAAAUAGAGAAUUGUGAGAUUGCCACCGGAAGAGGUUUAAACCAAGAAAGUAGCCUUGCUAGGCCUGGAGAUACUAGAUGGGGCUCCCAUCUUAAAACAUUGCUUCGUAUUUUGGUUAUGUGGGAGGCUAUAUUGGAGGUGCUUGAGAUUGUGAAAAAAGAUUCCAUUAAACCUACAUGUACUGGUGGUGCUUUUGGUCUGAUUAGUAAAAUGGAAAGCUUUGAUUUUGUGUUCAUCAUGCAUUUGAUGAUUGAAAUAUUGAGCACCACAGAUACUUUGUCACGUGCUUUGCAAAGAAAGGAUCAAGAUAUUGUCGAGGCAAUGCAUUCUAUCAUGAGUGUGAAAGAGACCUUGCAGGAUAUGAGGGACAAUGGAUGGGAGCCGUUAUUCAAAAGAGUGAAGUCAUUCUGUGAUAAAAAUGAGAUUGAAGUGCCAGAUAUGGAUAAGGAGGUAAAUGCUAGAGGGACAUCUGCACGUAGAAGGCAAAAGUGAAGCUAGUUCAGAGUUGUUAGUAUGCAUGGCUUCACUUAAUCCAAGGAACUUCUUCUCUAAUUUUGAUGUGGAUAAGCUUGUGAGACUUGCUGAAAUAUAUGCUGAAGAUUUUGAUGUCGGACAUCUUGCGGUGUUGCCAAGUCAACUUAAAGCAUUCCACCAACGUGCUAAAAGAAAUAGAGAGUUUCUUGGGUGCACAUAACUUUCAAAGGUUGCUGAAAUUAUGGUCAAGACAACCAUGAAUACCUCUUACCCAUUAGUUUAUCGGCUCGUUGAGCUCACAUUGAUACUUCCAGUGGCAACAGCUUCGGUUGAGAGGGUUUUUUCAGCUAUGGCUCUUUUAAAGACGGAUUUGCGCAGCAAAAUAGGGGAUGAAUGGCUCAAUGAUUUGAUGAUAUGCUAUGUUGAGAAGGAGAUAUUUAGAAGCAUUAGUAGUGACAAAAUCAUACAUCGGUUUGAAGAUAUGAAAAAAACGUCGUAGGCUUGUGCCUAAAGACAAUUUAGUGAUUGCUCCUCAUGGGGAAGAUUGAAGAAGAAUAACGGGUGUCAUUGUCAGCACGCCUCAUUAUGUUUUGGUUUCAUGUUUUUUAAUGGGCAAAACUUCAUAUUCAUCUUUUGCUACUUCUCGUAAUGUACUUAUCUAUGUUUUCAUGAACAUUUCGUUCUAGUAUUGUUCUAGAUUGUAUGCUGGCAGUUGGCUUCAGCCCCCC